AUUGAACGCUGGCGGCAGGCCUAACACAUGCAAGUCGAGCGAGCGGCGGACGGGUGAGUAAUGUAUGGGGAUCUGCCCGAUAGAGGGGGAUAACUACUGGAAACUGUUGCUAAUACCGCAUACCAUCGGAUGUACCCAUAUGGGAUUAGCUAGUAGGUGGGGUAAAGGCUCACCUAGGCGACGAUCCCUAGCUGGUCUGAGAGGAUGACCAGACACACUGGAACUGAGACACGGCCCAGACUCCUACGGGAUGCAGCAGUGGUGAAUAUUGCACAAUGGGCGCAAGCCUGAUGCAGCCAUGCCGCGUGUAUGAAGAAGGCCUUCGGGUUGUAAAGUACUUUCAGCGGGGAGGCGUUACCCGCAGAAGAAGCACCGGCUAACUCCGUGCCAGCAGCCGCGGUAAUUC
rnacentral:rRNA from 1 species